UGGUGCCCCAACAACAUGGGUCCGAGAAGGGCAGAUCCAGUGAGAGACACUGAGAGGCCUGCUCAAAAACAGGAUGGAGAAAAUUCCGAGAAUAGAGGACAAGGCCACAUGGGAGCCUGCUGCGUUUUCUGAACCUCAGUAAGUGAACAGUGAUUAUGGGACAAGAAAUGAGCCAGCAUGAGAUUUUUGUUGAAAGUCUAGGAAAGGCUUUAAAGGUGUGAGGAGUAAAGGUUAAAAUUAAGCUAUUGUGUCAAUAUUUUGAUUUUAUAAAGGAAGUUUGUCCUU
rfam:Cavia porcellus supercont2_28 genomic scaffold, whole genome shotgun sequence.